rnacentral:rRNA from 1 species
AACGUAGGAGACAAACGUUAUCCGGAGUUACUGGGCGUAAAGGGCGUGUAGGUGGUUUCGUAAGUCUGGCGUGAAAUUUCUCGGCUUAACCGAGGCAGGUCGUCGGAUACUGCGGAACUUGAGGACGGUAGAGGCGUGUGGAAUUCCGGGUGUAGUGGUGAAAUGCGUAGAGAUCAGGAGGAACACCUGUGGCGAAAGCGGCUCACUGGACCACAACUGACGCUGAGGCGCGAAAGCUAGGGGAGCAAACAGG